rnacentral:rRNA from 1 species
GGACUACCCGGGUUUCUAAUCCUGUUUGCUCCCCACGCUUUCGCACAUGAACGUCAGUAUUGGCCCAGGAAGUCGCUUUCGCCACUGGUGUUCCUUCCGAUAUCUACGCAUUUCACCGCUACACCGGAAAUUCCACUUCCCUCUACCAUACUCUAGCCAUGCAGUUUCAAAUGCAGUUCCCAGGUUGAGCCCGGGGAUUUCACAUCUGACUUACAAAACCGUCUACGCGCGCUUUACGCCCAGUAAUUCCGAUUAACGCUUGCACCCUCUGUAUUACCGCGGCGGCUGGCAC